UGUUGCACUGAAAUGUGAGAUUUUUAAAAGGUGAAUGUGGCUGUUUCCUGUGACUUGUUGGUUUUUGGGGAUGAUCCUCAGUUUGAGUUUCUUAUGUUCAAAUCCCAGAUGAGCCCAUUUGUUGUUUAAGUCUUUGCCGCCUCCCUGUUGCUGUAAUUUGUUACUAUCAGGAUGUCCUAAAAACUCCAUGGAAAGCAUUUAGCUUCAGAGAAAAACUGGCAGGAAACAGAAAGACAGAGCAUUUUUCUCUUAUAUUGACUUUUCUCCACUGGAUUCCUGUUAAAUCCAGAAUUGAAUAUAAAAUACUAUUUUUAUAUGACUAUUUUUACUUUUAGCUUCUACUUUUUUACAUCACACUGUGCACAAUCUCUAUGGAAUUAAUCCUAGAAUAAAAACUAGAAUCAAACACAGAAACUUGACUUUCUGAGCUUUCAAAACCAUCUUUCAUACAUUCUUCUUCAUUUUUUUUACUCUGAUGUGUGACUUUGGGAAAAUGACACAAAGAAUUGUUUGGCUUGUUGGUCUAGUUUCAAUGGGAGAAAUGUCCCUGUCUCCCUUGAAGGGAGUCGUCCCUUGGAAGAACUCGCUACACGGGUGGAGAGUGCUCUUGAAAAGGAGCUGAGCAACAAAACCGGUGAUACUUCUGAGGCUGUUUCCAGCUCUGUCUCAGAGCAGAAACAGGUUUUUGCUGUCCCAAGAAGCCAGUAUGGCAACAUCACUGCCACUCUGCACAAUCCCAGCACUGCUCCAGAGAAACCUAAAGGAACGGCCCAGGUGGUGUUCACAGAGAGACAGUUAAAUAUUCUUGUCUUUAAUUUGAAACAUUACCUUGAGCCAAGAGAGAUUAAAUAGUUGGAAGAAAUGACAGGACUGACCUACAAACAGACGGAGAAAGUUUAGGAGGAGUUCACAUCCUCAGCAUCUCAAUCAGGGCGUCCCAUUUCAUUUUCAGGGAGAGGGACAGCCCCCACUCAAGCAGCAGUACACCCAGCACCUGGAGACCAAUUUAAUCAGAAGUGGUGCAAAUUAUCAGGCUGUGGGCAAUUUUGCGGCUGGACCUCAAUGGACCUUCCCCACCUCACCCCAGUUGUUUGGCUGGUCGAUGCCACCAGGCAACAGCAAUUAUGAAUUCAACCCUGUUGCCGGUAUGAACAACAAAAACUUGGGUUUUCACAACACAAGUUUUGAAGGAGCAAGUGGAGAGCCUUGCCAGCAGCUAAUGAUCCUUUUAUUACAAAUAUUGUGAUUUAUAUCAGACUUUUUGUAUUAAGUUUGAAUCUUCUUGUCGUCAUGUAGCUCAACAUAACAGAGUCUCAGAUUUGAUCUCUUCCAGUAAAUGGGGGGUGAAUUUUCAGCCCUUUAUUUUUAACCGUUGGAUUUAAGAAAUAUUUGGAUUCAGCAGACUCUGGCUAUUGUAAAUACAUUUUAGUCGAUCCAAAACACAUACUGGGAAAUCAGAGAGAACACAUUCAGAAGUUUUGUAUAUAACAUCAAGAGAUGAAUUCAUCAAAAUGUGUUUUGUUUCAGUUUGUUGUACUUCCAGUAUUUGUAAAAAAUA